rnacentral:rRNA from 1 species
UACGAAGGGGGCUAGCGUUGUUCGGAAUUACUGGGCGUAAAGCGCGCGCAGGCGGUCUUCCAAGUCAGUGGUGAAAGCCCGGAGCUCAACUCCGGAACUGCCAUUGAAACUGUUGGACUUGAGUACGAGAGAGGUGAGCGGAAUUCCCAGUGUAGAGGUGAAAUUCGUAGAUAUUGGGAAGAACACCGGUGGCGAAGGCGGCUCACUGGCUCGUAACUGACGCUCAGGCGCGACAGCGUGGGGAUCAAACAGG